GCCAGCUCUGCAGCACCUUUCAGCCCCUCAGUACAUCUAGUUGCUGUCAACCACAGAACUCACACCAUUCUGUUUCAUUCUCUGUUUGGACAGUGAGCUCACCUCCCCUCUCUCUCCUCACGCUAACUGACACUUCAGAACUGACACUUCAGCAGUUCCCACACACUACCAGACAGUUAACUCACUGUACAAGACCUCUCCCCUUCACUUCACUCUACUGCAGGGUGGGAGAUGCAACAAUGGCCUUGAGAACAGCAGGAAGUGUGUUGGUGGUCUUUCUCUGGUCUGUGGCAGUGAUUCUGGGUCAGAAUAGCAGGAUUGUGACCUACACCAAGAAUAGUUUCUGUACCUUGAAGGGGUCAACAGUGGAUCUAUCCUGCUCUUACACAUAUCCCAGAGGUCAUACAGUCACAGCAACCACAUGGUAUAAAAGGAAGAGUUUGACCUGGACUCACAUCCAAGAUAAAUAUGAGGAUCGUAUAGAGUACCGUGGGAAUAAGGAGAAUGACUGCACCCUGACAAUCACAGACCUGAGAGAGGAGGAUUCAGCAUCAUAUUACUUCUCAUUUUCAACAGGCUCAAGGACAUCUGGCUCAGCUGUCACUCUCUCUGUCACAGAUCUAAAGGUGACUGGGGGAACAAGAGGGGAGUAUUGGAAGACACUGACCUGUAGCACCACCUGUACUCUGACUGACAACCCCACCUACAUCUGGUACAAGAACGGACUCAAAGUAAAGGAGGACACUUCCAGCCUGGACUCAGACUCCUUUAGUGAUGCAGACAGUUACUCCUGUGCUGUAAAAGGCCAUGAGGAUCUCCUCUCUCCUGCAGUG